GGCCUCGUGGUGUACUUGGUUCGCAUAUCCCAUCGUUAUUGAGGGAAGAUACAGGUUCAAAUCCUGUCGGGGCCC
rnacentral:tRNA from 1 species